UACGGAGGGUGCAAGCGUUAAUCGGAAUUACUGGGCGUAAAGCGCGCGUAGGCGGUUUGUUAAGUCGGCCGUGAAAGCCCCGGGCUUAACCUGGGAACUGCGGUCGAUACUGGCAGGCUAGAGUGUGGCAGAGGGUGGCGGAAUUUCCGGUGUAGCAGUGAAAUGCGUAGAGAUCGGAAGGAACACCAGUGGCGAAGGCGGCCAUCUGGGCUAACACUGACGCUGAGGUGCGAAAGCGUGGGGAGCAAACAGG
rnacentral:rRNA from 1 species